rnacentral:tRNA from 1 species
GGUAUUUUUAGAGCGUGGAACAGUUACGGAAACCUAUAGGGUUUCCGAACAUACAAGGGAGUUUGUUUGAUCUAAAAAAAAUAUUG